ACGGAAGGCAGCAGUGGGGGAUAUUGCACAAUGGGGGAAACCCUGAUGCAGCGACGCCGCGUGAGGGAAGAAGGUUUUCGGAUUGUAAACCUCUGUCCUCAGUGACGAUAAUGACGGUAGCUGAGGAGGAAGCCACGGCUAACUACGUGCCAGCAGCCGCGGUAAUACGUAGGUGGCAAGCGUUGUCCGGAAUUACUGGGUGUAAAGGGAGCGUAGGCGGGAAUACAAGUUGGAUGUCUAAUCUACCGGCUUAACCGGUAUUCGCAUUCAAAACUGUAUUUCUUGAGUGAAGUAGAGGCAGGCGGAAUUCCUAGUGUAGCGGUGAAAUGCGUAGAUAUUAGGAGGAACACCAGUGGCGAAGGCGGCCUGCUGGGCUUUAACUGACGCUGAGGCUCGAAAGCGUGGGUAGCAAACAGGAUUAGAUACCCUGGUA
rnacentral:rRNA from 1 species